rnacentral:RNase_P_RNA from 1 species
UAAGUUUUUAUCUUUAUUGCAUUAAUAAUUAUUAAUAUUAAUGAGGAAAGUCUGGACACUAAAGAGUAAUACAAUGGUUAAUAACCAUACAUUGUAAAAUGAUGAAUAGUGCAACAGAAAGUAUGUAUAAAAUUAAUUAAUAUUAAUUUUAAUAGUGAAAUCAUGUAAACUCUGUAUAGUGAAAUGUCAAAAUUAUCAUAACUUACUCGGUUUUUUAAAAAAAUGAUUGGUAGACAGAUAGAUAUAUAUGGUAACAUAUAUACUAGAUAAAUAAUAAAGAAUAUUUUAUAUAAAAUAUUACAGAAUCCAGCUUAUAUAUUAACUUAUUAU